ACACUGACGUCGCGACGCAUAUCAAUAAGCGGAGGAAAAGAAACUAACUAGGAUUCCCUUAGUAACGGCGAGUGAAGCGGGAAGAGCUCAAAUUUGAAAUCUUCAAGGUUCUACCUUGACGAAUUGUAGUUUAAAGAAGUGUUUUUCUGUUGGAGUUUUGGUAAAAGUUCUUUGGAAUAGGACAUCAUAGAGGGUGAGAAUCCCGUAUUUGACCAUUUCUUCCAGCUGUGUGAUACACUUUCAAUGAGUCGGAUUGUUUGGGAAUGCAGUCCAAAAUGGGUGGUAAAUUUCAUCUAAAGCUAAAUAUUGGCGAGAGACCGAUAGCGAACAAGUACCGUGAGGGAAAGAUGAAAAGAACUUUGAAAAGAGAGUUAAACAGUACGUGAAAUUGUCAAAAGGGAAGCGUUUGACACCAGUGUUGUUUUUUCCGAAAAUCAAUUACGAAUAGUUUUUGAUUUUUGAGGAGUUAUUGACUUCAUCGGCUUGCUCCUUUCUUUAUGAAACUUUCUUAAUGCACUUUUCGGUUAACAAGUCAACAUCAGUUUCUUUUGUUGUAAAAGGGUAUGAGGAAGGUGGCUUUCUUUUCGGAGAAAGUGUUUAUAGCCUUGUGCCUCUGCAAUCGGAGAGAUUGAGGUCUGCAGCGUAGAUCCUUCGGGGUUAGAUACAUUUGUGCUAAGUUAUAGCCUUUUCAUAGACAACUUGUUGACUAUGUUUAGUCUUGUAGCUUACUCGCUUAUGCUAUUUUACCUACGCUUAGGAUGUUGACGCAUGAGAUAUACGC
rnacentral:rRNA from 1 species